CGGCAACAGCUCAAAUUUGAAAUCUGGCCUCUUCGGGGCCCGAGUUGUAAUUUGGAGAGGAUGUUUCGGGUACGGCCCGGGCUUAUAUUUCUUGGAACAGAAUGUCAUAGAGGGUGAGAAUCCCGUCUGGAGCCCGGACACGACCUAUGUGAAACUCCUUCGAC
rnacentral:rRNA from 1 species